rnacentral:rRNA from 1 species
GUCGAACGGUAGCAGGAAGUGCUUGCACUUCUGCUGACGAGUGGCGGACGGGUGAGUAAUGCUUGGGAACUUGCCUUUAGGUGGGGGAUAACAGUUGGAAACGACUGCUAAUACCGCAUAAUGUCUACGGACCAAAGGGGGCUUCGGCUCCCGCCUUGAGAGAGGCCCAAGUGAGAUUAGCUAGUUGGUGGGGUAAAGGCCUACCAAGGCAACGAUCUCUAGCUGUUCUGAGAGGAAGAUCAGCCACACUGGGACUGAGACACGGCCCAGACUCCUACGGGAGGCAGCAGUGGGGAAUAUUGCACAAUGGGGGAAACCCUGAUGCAGCCAUGCCGCGUGUGUGAAGAAGGCCUUCGGGUUGUAAAGCACUUUCAGUUGUGAGGAAAGGUUGGUAGUUAAUACCUGCCAGCUGUGACGUUAACAACAGAAGAAGCACCGGCUAACUCCGUGCCAGCAGCCGCGGUAAUACGGAGGGUGCGAGCGUUAAUCGGAAUUACUGGGCGUAAAGCGCACGCAGGCGGCUUGUUAAGCUAGAGGUGAAAGCCCCGCGCUCAACGUGGGAACUGCCUUUAGAACUGGCAGGCUAGAGUCUUGGAGAGGGGAGUGGAAUUCCAGGUGUAGCGGUGAAAUGCGUAGAUAUCUGGAGGAACAUCAGUGGCGAAGGCGGCUCCCUGGCCAAAGACUGACGCUCAUGUGCGAAAGUGUGGGUAGCGAACAGGAUUAGAUACCCUGGUAGUCCACACCGUAAACGCUGUCUACUAGCUGUUUGUGUAUUUAAUACGUGAGUAGCGAAGCUAACGCGCU